rnacentral:misc_RNA from 1 species
AAGUCGUAACAAGGUCUCCGUAGGUGAACCUGCGGAGGGAUCAUUACAGAGAACAUCGCCCGCAAGGGUGACUCUCCAACCCUAUGUUAAACAUACCUUUGUUGCUUUGGCGAGCCGCUUCGGCCACCGGCCUCGUGCUGGUGAGCGCCCGCCAGAGGACCCGUAAACUCUGUUUAUUAGUGUCGUCUGAGUAUUAUAUAAUAGUUAAAACUUUCAACAACGGAUCUCUUGGUUCUG